CGUUUGAUAGUCUGCCCAUGGGAAGCGGCGUUGAUGCUCGGGUCUUACGCAACAGGAGCCUGUGAAUCGUGUCAGGGUCGGAAGGCAGCAGCACUAAGCAGUCUACUUCUGUGUGUUGUGAGGGUGCCAGAGAGGAGUCGCGGAACAUGGUAACGUGUUGGGCG
rnacentral:SRP_RNA from 1 species